ACCCUGAUCCAGCAAUGCCGCGUGAGUGAAGAAGGCCUUCGGGUUGUAAAGCUCUUUUGUCAGGGAAGAAAAGGCUUUGGCUAAUAUCUGCGGCUCAUGACGGUACCUGAAGAAUAAGCACCGGCUAACUACGUGCCAGCAGCCGCGGUAAUACGUAGGGUGCAAGCGUUAAUCGGAAUUACUGGGCGUAAAGCGUGCGCAGGCGGUUUUGUAAGACUGUCGUGAAAUCCCCGGGCUCAACCUGGGAAUGGCGAUGGUGACUGCAAGGCUAGAGUUUGGCAGAGGGGGGUAGAAUUCCACGUGUAGCAGUGAAAUGCGUAGAUAUGUGGAGGAACACCGAUGGCGAAGGCAGCCCCCUGGGUCAAAACUGACGCUCAUGCACGAAAGCGUGGGGAGCAAACAGGAUUAGAUACCCUGGUAGUCCACGCCCUAAACGAUGUCUACUAGUUGUCGGGUCUUAAUUGACUUGGUAACGCAGCUAACGCGUGAAGUAGACCGCCUGGGGAGUACGGUCGCAAGAUUAAAACUCAAAGGAAUUGACGGGGACCCGCACAAGCGGUGGAUGAUGUGGAUUAAUUCGAUGCAACGCGAAAAACCUUACCUACCCUUGACAUGGAUGGAAUCCCUGAGAGAU
rnacentral:rRNA from 1 species